rnacentral:rRNA from 1 species
CCUACGGGGGGCUGCAGUGAGGAAUAUUGGUCAAUGGACGAGAGUCUGAACCAGCCAAGUAGCGUGAAGGAUGACUGCCCUAUGGGUUGUAAACUUCUUUUAUAUGGGAAUAAAAUGUUCCACGUGUGGGAUUUUGUAUGUACCAUAUGAAUAAGGAUCGGCUAACUCCGUGCCAGCAGCCGCGGUAAUACGGAGGAUCCGAGCGUUAUCCGGAUUUAUUGGGUUUAAAGGGAGCGUAGGUGGAUUGUUAAGUCAGUUGUGAAAGUUUGCGGCUCAACCGUAAAAUUGCAGUUGAAACUGGCAGUCUUGAGUACAGUAGAGGUGGGCGGAAUUCGUGGUGUAGCGGUGAAAUGCUUAGAGAUCACGAAGAACACCGAUUGCGAAGGCAGUUCACUGGACUGCAACUGACACUGAGGCUCGAAAGUGUGGGUAUCAAACAGGAUUAGAUACCCUUGUAGUC